CGUCCUACGGGAGGCAGCAGUAGGGAAUCUUCCACAAUGGGCGCAAGCCUGAUGGAGCAACACCGCGUGAGUGAAGAAAGGUUUCGGCUCGUAAAACUCUGUUGUUGGAGAAGAACGAGCGUGAGAGCAACUGUUCACGCAGUGACGGUAUCCAACCAGAAAGUCACGGCUAACUACGUGCCAGCAGCCGCGGUAAUACGUAGGUGGCGAGCGAUAUCCGGAAUGAUUGGGCGUAAAGGGUGCGUAGGCGGCCUGCUAAGUCUGGCGUGAAAGGGAACGGGCCAACCGGUACA
rnacentral:rRNA from 1 species